rnacentral:rRNA from 1 species
UACGAAGGGGGCUAGCGUUGCUCGGAAUGACUGGGCGUAAAGGGCGCGUAGGCGGUUUGUACAGUCAGACGUGAAAUUCCUGGGCUCAACCUGGGGGCUGCGUUUGAUACGUAUGGACUUGAGUUCGGAAGAGGGUCGUGGAAUUCCCAGUGUAGAGGUGAAAUUCGUAGAUAUUGGGAAGAACACCGGUGGCGAAGGCGGCGACCUGGUCCGAUACUGACGCUGAGGCGCGAAAGCGUGGGGAGCAAACAGG